GGAUCAGAGAUAUGCAUGAAGAUCUUAAACGGACUUCAUUCAUCCGAAUCAAGUGGCUCCAAACCAUAGGAGCAUGCGUUUGCUAAAUGUAUUGAAACGCACAUGGACUCUACUUGAUUUGGAAGGGAUAUGGUGAAUUAUGCCUUUGCGUGUUCAUUCCGGAUUUACAUGGACUCUUGAUGGAUCAAGAGAUGCCAAUAUGUCAACAUUCGAAGAAAAAGAUCUUGGGAAGACAUGGUCUCGAUAAGGCACUCGAUGACUGUAUUGAUGAUGAUUUUCCAUCAAUCGGCUUAGGCGCUCUAUAACUAGUGAGGCCUACAUAUACUCCUAUGAUUAGUCAAGGUCUUUGCUCUAAAGAGAGAUCUGUUGUUUUGUCUAAAGUAAGAUGACAAAUAUGUGUUAAGAGAUGGAGUUCCCAUCUAAGUACAAUUAGACGCAUCAAUGUACUCAACACAAUACGAAAGACUUGACAUCUCAUUCGCUAUGAAAAGUUGUAAAGCUAAGUGUAGCUAUGCGCCCACGCAACGCCAAUGUAAUGGCAGUAACUCCUUUUUCAAUACUUAAUGGUAUGAAAGGUUUAGGCUUAUUCUAUCCCUACAUAAGAAAGACACAUCAAUAGCGAAAUCAGAAUCUGCCAAGUUUCGUAGGUCAAGCUCCAUGGGACUUACAGGAAAUCUCACUCACUGGAAUAUGAUAAAAUUGGUACCAUUGGAAAGGUCUAUGUGUCUACUUUCCAGAGACACCAACCAUUUGAUCAUACCUAUCAUAUUGAGUGAGUUAUGGCCGUUUUCAUAAAGUAUGACGAAUCUGUCCGAGAAUCUGAUUUUGGCAAAACAGUCAACUUCGACUGGAUUUUGUGAACAGCUCCUGAUGAACCAGAAUGUGUGUAAUAUACGGUUGGGAAGCUAAAUGAGUCUAGUUUCCAAAACCGUUUACGGUUUGUUCAUAUGUAUUUCCUAGAGGAAGUUACGACUGUUCUAGUAAUUGAAGGUCAUGCUGCGCGGAAACCUGAUUUCCUGCACGAACUUAUGUUUUGAGUUCACAAGCGACCUUCUCCUCAAGAUCUAAGUGUAAAAGAUCAUUUGAGGACAAUACGACAUGAUUUAGUUAAUCAUUGUCUAAUGCCACAUUUGAAGACAUGUUAAAGAGCAUUGACAUGCUAAGUUUUUGAAACUUCCGUGAUUAGUAAGAAUCAAGAAGAGCCCUAUGAUUGAUGUAAAGAUCAGGGGGAGGUGCGAACUUCAGGGGGAGUCUAGCACAUACAUACAUGUCACUAUCAAAUGUGAAGGGUGCGUUGUACUCUUUUUCUCCUACGAUCAAGGUUCAAUUUUUCUCCCACAGGGUUUUUGU
rnacentral:lncRNA from 1 species